CCUAUUGAAUCAUCGCUGACAACAAUGAUUUCUCUUCGAUGUCACCUCGUCACCCUUGUGCUUCUUCAAGUGAUCCUAUCCUCUUGCUCUCUCACCCUGUUAAAUCUGAUGUUCCAAGCAUAUGGGAUCUCUUUAUCUUCGGUAGCUGCAUUGCAAGUCUGAGUUUGCCGAUUAAUGGGAUUUUUCUGAUGAAUAACAUUCGUUUGGUUGGGAGGACAAUCCUGAUACCUGGUUCUCCUAAAACGUUGCAAAUAUUCAUUUGAUUGGGUAUCAUGUUCUGUAGUGUUACUGAUUCAUGAUUCAAAGAACUGGUUUUGAGAUUUUUUUCA